GAGAGAAGCUUGCUUCUCUUGAGAGCGGCGGACGGGUGAGUAAYGCCUAGGAAUCUGCCUGGUAGUGGGGGAUAACGUUCGGAAACGGACGCUAAUACCGCAUACGUCCUACGGGAGAAAGCAGGGGACCUUCGGGCCUUGCGCUAUCAGAUGAGCCUAGGUCGGAUUAGCUAGUUGGUGAGGUAAUGGCUCACCAAGGCGACGAUCCGUAACUGGUCUGAGAGGAUGAUCAGUCACACUGGAACUGAGACACGGUCCAGACUCCUACGGGAGGCAGCAGUGGGGAAUAUUGGACAAUGGGCGAAAGCCUGAUCCAGCCAUGCCGCGUGUGUGAAGAAGGUCUUCGGAUUGUAAAGCACUUUAAGUUGGGAGGAAGRGCAGUUACCUAAUACGUGAUUGUUUUGACGUUACCGACAGAAUAAGCACCGGCUAACUCU
rnacentral:rRNA from 1 species